rnacentral:rRNA from 1 species
CAACUCGAGUGCAUGAAGCUGGAAUCGCUAGUAAUCGCGGAUCAGAAUGCCGCGGUGAAUACGUUCCCGGGUCUUGUACACACCGCCCGUCACACCAUGGGAGCCGACAACGCCCGAAGUCAGUGACCUAACCGAGAGGGAGGAGCUGCCGAAGGCGGGGUUGGUAACUGGGGUGAAGUCGUAACAAGGUAGC